rnacentral:piRNA from 1 species
ACCCACAGCUGGAGCGGCAAAUGGAA